rnacentral:rRNA from 1 species
UACGUAGGGUGCGAGCGUUAAUCGGAAUUACUGGGCGUAAAGGGCGCGUAGGCGGCCUGUUAAGUCAGACGUGAAAUCCCUCGGCUCAACCGGGGAACUGCGUCUGAUACUGGCGGGCUUGAAUUCGGGAGAGGGAUGUGGAAUUCCAGGUGUAGCGGUGAAAUGCGUAGAUAUCUGGAGGAACACCGGUGGCGAAGGCGGCAUCCUGGACCGACAUUGACGCUGAGGCGCGAAAGCCAGGGGAGCAAACGGG